rnacentral:rRNA from 1 species
UCGGGAAUUUUGGGCAAUGGGCGAAAGCCUGACCCAGCAACGCCGCGUGAAGGAUGAAGCUCUUCGGAGUGUAAACUUCGGAAGUAUGGGAAGAAUAAAUGACGGUACCAUAUCUAAGCCCCGGCUAACUCUGUGCCAGCAGCCGCGGUAAUACAGAGGGGGCAAGCGUUGUUCGGAUUUACUGGGCGUAAAGCGCGUGUAGGCGGCUUUGCAAGUCACUUGUGAAAUCUCCAGGCUUAACCUGGAGCGGCCAAGUGAUACUGCUGAGCUAGAGUGCAGAAGGGGCAACUGGAAUUCUUGGUGUAGCGGUGAAAUGCGUAGAUAUCAAGAGGAACACCUGAGGCGAAGGCGGGUUGCUGGGCUGACACUGACGCUGAGACGCGAAAGCUAGGGGAGCAAA